GACUAAGCGUACACGGUGGAUGCCCUGGCAGUCAGAGGCGAUGAAGGACGUGCUAAUCUGCGAAAAGCGUCGGUAAGGUGAUAUGAACCGUUAUAGCCGGCGAUGUCCGAAUGGGGAAACCCAGUGCAAUUCGUUGCACUAUCGUUAACUGAAUACAUAGGUUAACGAGCCGAACCGGGGGAACUGAAACAUCUAAGUACCCCGAGGCAAAGAAAUCAACC
rnacentral:rRNA from 1 species